rnacentral:rRNA from 1 species
GACGAACGCUGGCGGCGUGCUUAACACAUGCAAGUCGAACGGAAAGGCCCUGCUUUUGUGGGGUGCUCGAGUGGCGAACGGGUGAGUAACACGUGAGUAACCUGCCCUUGACUUUGUGAUAACUUCAGGAAACUGGGGCUAAUACCGGAUAUGAGCUCCUGCUGCAUGGUGUGGGUUGGAAAGUUUCGGCGGUUGGGGAUGGAUUCGCGGCUUAUCAGCUUGUUGGUGUGGUAGUGGCUUACCAAGGCUUUGACGGGUAGCCGGCCUGAGAGGGUGACCGGCCACAUUGGGACUGCGAGACGGCCCAGACUCCUACCGGAGGCAGCAGUCGGGAAUAUUGCAGAGCGGGCCGAAGCCUGAUGCAGCAACGCCGCGUGCGGGAUGCCGUCCUUCGGGUUGUAAACCGAUUUCGAAUGUGACGAAGCCUGAGUGACGGUAAUGGGUAAAGAAGCCCCGGCUAACUACGUG